AAACGUGCACGGAUACCGCUGUAGAGAUUUGUGACUUUAACUCUAUGCCCACAAAGUGCACGAACAUUAAACUAAAAAUGUUCUCCGAUGAGCCUGGCCGUUUGAGCUUCGAACCAGGAACAGAUACGGAACAUACAAGC